UGUUCCCAUCCAAACUGCAAGCAUGAUCUCUCCCCUCACUUUCCCUUCUCCACGUCGAUCCUCCAGUCUAUACCACUGAGGAGCUAGUGGGCUGUCAGGUGGAACUCUAGUUGGAAUCUCAUUCAAGUCAAAAACCACCCUUCCAAGAUAAUCAUCUCUUCCCACCAUUUCUUUAUCUUUAACAAAAACUUCUAGCACUGAUGACUGAAGUCGGUCUUUUGAGAAAGCAAAGACCUGGUGCCACUCUGGAUUCAUCUUCUUCUCGAAAUGCUUAGUUCUCCCCUUGUAGUUCCCCAUCUUUACUUCCACAUAAGGAUCACAGCUUCCGGUAAUUGAGCUAGGAGGAAGAUCUCUGGCCUUGACUACUCGAACGUAUAGAUAGGACAUCUGCUCCACAAGGUCAUACGUACUUGCAUAUCUCUCAGCAUUCAUCCAUCCUGUUCCCCCAUAUGCUCCGCCAGCUGGCCACCUUUCCCCCAGCCGGGGGUUGGUGUCCUUCAAGGUGAAGUCAUCUUGUUCACUAGGAUGGGCUGGUUGACUAGCUGCAUGCAUUGUGUGCGAGACUCCUUGAGGCCUUUUCUCCCUUGACAGGCUGGGUUGCUGCAGAACUUGGUGCUUAUAGAUUCUGUCCUUGUUUGGCUCUUUCACAGAAGUAAUGCCACCAGAUUCAGGAACUGCAACAGAAGUAGAAUUUUCUAUCACAGCAAGAGCAGAAAUUUCUUUUUCAGGUUGUGUUGCUAUAGCAUCGGUAGUCUUAACUGAAGCAACUUCAGCUUUCGGAAGAGCAGCUAGUGUUUUGCAGUCAAGAUUGGAAUUUUCUGCACUAUGAGUAUUAGCAGAGGUUUUUUAUGGUUUUGGUGGUCUAGAAGGUGGAGGAGGAGAUUUUGUUUCGGAUUCUGAUGAGAUAUAAAUUUUCAGGCCAAUGUCACCCUUGACAGAUGAGAAAAACCAGUUCCUUUCCAAUUGGAAAGUUUGGUAAACUUCCUCACCUUUCUUGACAAUAUUUGAGCAAGGAAUUCUAACUCUACCAAGGAAGUUUCGGCCAGGAAUCGGUCUCCUCUUGUUGUAAAUAGAGACCUCAAUGGAUUGGUGAUAUUUGCUUUUGGUUUCGUCUAGAUCAAAGACAAGUUUCUGGUUCCAAACAGGGUUGAGGGUUUUAGGAACGGUUUUAGUUUUGCUUAGUUGGUUUUGGAAAUCAACUUCUACAUAUGUACUAGCUGAACCUUCACCAUCUUUAGGCAUAAGAUCAUGAGCAUCUACCACUUCUACCACUAGCUUCAUUCUCCUUUUCUUUUCUGCUGGGAGAAGCUACAAAGAAGCAGCCCCCUACAAGAAAUCUGAAACUCAAAGUGGAAGCAAGGAAGUUUUACUCACCAAGG
rnacentral:misc_RNA from 1 species